AUUGAUUUGUGUUGGUUUCAAGCUGAGUUUCCCUUAUCCAUUCUGUGAUACUACAUUCUCUCCAAACUCAACCCAUGAAUCUCCAACUACAGCCCACAACAUCAUCGUCCUUAUCAAUGACAACAUUUUCAACUGAAUUCUUGUCACACACUCUCAAUUUCAGAAACCACCCAAACCGCCAUUCAUUCGUCACUUCCUCAACCCCAUUUCUAAACCAUGGUAACACCAACAACAACCCAAGAACAAGAAUCAACCAACCACAAAUCAGGCCAAAACUUGAUCAAAAUUUCACGAAAAAGUACGAUGAGUCUCUCUACUUACUUCAGCAAAAGGUUAAUAGGGGCUAUGAACCUGAUGUUAUUUUUUGCACAAAAUUGAUCAAGGGUUUUUUCAAUUCUAAGAAAAUCGAGAAAGCUAUUCAGGUUAUGGAGAUUUUGGAGAAGCACGGUGAGCCUAAUGCUUUUGCUUAUAAUGCUGUUAUAAACGGGUUUUGUAAAGCUGGUAGAGUUGAUGAUGCCAAUAAGGUGUUUGAUAGAAUGAGAAAGAGAGGCGUUUUACCUAAUGUUGUUACUUAUACUAUUCUUAUUGGGAAUCUUUGUCGGAGGGGUAAACUGGAUUUGGCUUUAAGGGUUAUGGAUCAGAUGUUGAAAGAUAAUUGUAAGCCAGAUGUUAUAACUUAUAAUAUUUUGAUUGAAGCAACUAUUAUCCAAGAUGGUAUUGAUGAAGCCAUGAAGCUUUUGGAUGAGAUGUUAUCGAGAGGGCUUCGACCUGAUGAGUAUACUUACAGUGUUUUUGUUAAUGGUAUGUGUAGAGAAGGGAUGUUGGAUAGAGCUUUUGAGUAUCUUAGUAGUAUAAGUGGUAAGGGUUGUGCUGCUGGUGUGAGUGCUUAUAAUAUUCUGUUGAAGAGUCUUUUGAAUGAGGGGAAAUGGGAAGCUGGGAAGAAUUUGACGUCAGUUAUGCUGGAUAAAGGUUGUGAGCCCAGUUCUGUGACAUACAGCACAUUGAUUAGUUCGCUUUGUCGUGAUGGUAAAAUUUACGAGGCCGAGAAUGUGUUCAAGAGUAUGAAGAAGAGAGGUUUGGCUCCUGAUGCUUAUAGUUAUCAUCCAUUGAUUUCUGCAUUUUGCAAAGAAGGAAAAGUGAAUUUGGCUAUAGAGUAUUUGGAUAACAUGAUAUCAGAUGGUCAUUUGUCUGAUAUUCUUUGCUAUAUCCCAGUCUUGGCUUCUCUGUGUAAGAAUGGACAUGCUGCCGAGGCUUUGGACAUCUUUGAGAAGCUCAGUGAAGUGGGUUAUCCUCCAAAUGCAAGUUCUUAUAAUAUCUUGUUUGGUGCAUUGUGGAGCAGCGGCAAUAAAAUUAGAGCGUUACGGAUGAUUCUGGAGAUGUUAAGCAAAGACAUUGAUCCUGAUGAGUUCACCUAUAAUUCACUUAUUUCUUGCUUGUGCAAAGAUGGGUUGGUGGAUCAAGCAAUUGAGUUGCUGGUUGACAUGAUGGAGAGUCGCGAGUUUCAGCCUACUGUUAUUAGUUACAAUGCUGUUAUUCUUGGAUUGUGCAAGGUGCAAAGAGUCAUAGAUGCUAUUGAGGUGCUUGCUGCUAUGAAUCAGAGAGGAUGCUUGCCAAAUGAAACAACCUACACAACGUUGAUUCAAGGGAUUGGUUUUGGAGGAUGGCGAAAUGACGCGAUGGAGUUGGCUAACUCACUUGUUAAUAUGGAUGCUAUUUCGAAAUAUUCAUUCAAACAUUUGAGCAGAACGUUUCGUGCGAUUGAUGCGCACAAAGAGCUUGCAGUAUCAGAAUGAACUAACUUCAUGGGCAUAAAAUUGAUUUAUUCAGGUCUUCUCAAUAAGAUUUUUUGUUCAAUUCGAUUAAUGAAUACCAACUUAUCAUCAAUUGCAAAUAGAAAUUCUACAAUAGCUAAGGAAAUUGUUCCUCUGCGGGAUCUAAGUGGAAGUAAAUUGCAAAAUGACUCAAAUGCUAUAUCACUAGUUUUUCAUGAGGGUUAUAAUAUAAGCAUUAUAUCAAGGAUCAAAUGCUGAAUGAGCCUCUUGAAGAGAUAAUGGGAAAACUAGUUGAAGAGCAAUCAGAAGCAACAAGUCAGCUACUUGAAAGCCAAGGUCUUAUUCUACUUCCUAUUGCUCUGGUUGAAGAAUUGAACCAAACUAUGCAAUUGAUGAACUUGAACCAAACUACCUAGAUAUCUAUUUUCUGUUUUUGUAUCAUUAUGGUAUGAGAACCAAAUCAACAUAGUUAGGCCUUCUGUUGUUUUUCUAACUAAAACUCACCUCUUGAAACUAACUAGGAGGUAGUGUCUAAUUCUGUUUCUGUCUUAAGAUUUUCUUAUAGUUUCGUAACUGAAAAGUCUUUUGGCCAAUUGGACCCUA